rnacentral:rRNA from 1 species
GAUGAACGCUGGCGGCGUGCCUAAUACAUGCAAGUCGAGCGAACGGACGAGAAGCUUGCUUUUCUGAUGUUAGCGGCGGACGGGUGAGUAACACGUGGAUCACCUACCUAUAAGACUGGGAUAACUUCGGGAAACCGGCGCUAAUACCGGAUAAUAUUUUGAACCGCAUGGUUCAAAAGUGAAAGACGGUCUUGCUGUCACUUCUAGAUGGAUCCGCGCUGCAUUAGCUAGUUGGUAAGGUAACGGCUUACCAAGGCAACGAUGCAUAGCCGACCUGAGAGGGUGAUAGGCCACACUGGAACUGAGACACGGUCCAGACUCCUACGGGAGGCAGCAGUAGGGAAUCUUCCGCAAUGGGCGAAAGCCUGACGGAGCAACGCCGCGUGAGUGAUGAAGGUCUUCGGAUCGUAAAACUCUGUUAUUAGGGAAGAACAUAUGUGUAAGUAACUGUGCACAUCUUGACGGUACCUAAUCAGAAAGCCACGGCUAACUACGUG